GACGAACGCUGGCGGCGUGCUUAACACAUGCAAGUCGAACGGAAAGGCCCUGCUUUUGUGGGGUGCUCGAGUGGCGAACGGGUGAGUAACACGUGAGUAACCUGCCCUUGACUUUGGGAUAACUUCAGGAAACUGGGGCUAAUACCGGAUAGGAGCUCCUGCUGCAUGGGGGGGGUUGGAAAGUUUCGGCGGUUGGGGAUGGACUCGCGGCUUAUCAGCUUGUUGGUGGGGUAGUGGCUUACCAAGGCUUUGACGGGUAGCCGGCCUGAGAGGGUGACCGGCCACAUUGGGCCUGAGAUACGGCCCAGACUCCUACGGGAGGCAGCAGUGGGGAAUAUUGCACAAUGGGCGGAAGCCUGAUGCAGCAACGCCGCGUGCGGGAUGACGGCCUUCGGGUUGUAAACCGCUUUCGCCUGUGACGAAGCGUGAGUGACGGUAAUGGGUAAAGAAGCACCGGCUAACUACGUG
rnacentral:rRNA from 1 species